UCCUACGGGAGGCAGCAGCUAAGAAUCUUCCGCAAUGGGCGAAAGCCUGACGGAGCGAUGCCGCGUGAUCGAUGAAGGUCGAGAGAUUGUAAAGAUCUUUUCCAACUGAGGAAUAAGCCUAGGAGGGAAUGCCUGGGUGAUGACGUUAAGUUGGGAAUAAGCCCCGGCUAAUUACGUGCCAGCAGCCGCGGUAACACGUAAGGGGCGAGCGUUGUUCGGAAUUAUUGGGCGUAAAGGGCACGCAGGCGGUUUUGCAAGUCUGAUGUUAAAUAUCCGGGCUUAACUCGGGGAAUGCGUUGGAAACUGCAAGACUAGAAUCUUGGAGGGGGAGUCGGAAUUCCUAGUGUAGGGGUGAAAUCUGUUGAUAUUAGGAAGAACACCGGUGGCGAAGGCGGACUCCUGGCCGAAGAUUGACGCUGAGGUGCGAAAGCAUAGGGAGCAAACAGGAUUAGAUACCCCCGUA
rnacentral:rRNA from 1 species